AGCAGUCGCCGCGGUAAUACGAAGGGUGCAAGCGUUAAUCGGAAUUACUGGGCGUAAAGGGUGCGUAGGCGGUUGUUAAGACAGAUGUGAAAUCCCCGGGCUCAACCUGGGAACUGCAUUUGUGACUGGCAAGCUAGAGUCUGGCAGAGGGGGGUGGAAUUCCGCGUGUAGCAGUGAAAUGCGUAGAUAUGCGGAGGAACACCGAUGGCGAAGGCAGCCCCCUGGGCCAACACUGACGCUCAUGCACGAAAGCGUGGGGAGCAAACAGGAUUAGAUACCCCAGUAGUCCCUGUCUCUUAUACA
rnacentral:rRNA from 1 species